CAAGUCGAACGAGAAAGCACCUUCGGGUGUGAGUAGAGUGGCGCACGGGUGAGUAAUGGAUAGGAACGUGCCUUUGGGAGGGGGAUAACCACAGGAAACUGUGGCUAAUACCGCAUGGUCUCGCAAGAGUAAAGGUGGCUUCUACUUGUAAGCUACCACCCAAAGAUCGGCCUAUCUCCCAUUAGCUUGUUGGUGAGGUAACGGCUCACCAAGGCAACGAUGGGUAGCUGGUCUGAGAGGAUGAUCAGCCACACUGGGACUGAGACACGGCCCAGACUCCUACGGGAGGCAGCAGUGGGGAAUUUUGCACAAUGGGCGCAAGCCUGAUGCAGCAACGCCGCGUGAAUGAAGAAGGCCCUUGGGUUGUAAAGUUCUUUCGGCUAGGAAGCAGGGACUCAGUGAAAAUAUUGCUGGGUUCUGACGGUACUAGAAGAAGAAGCACCGGCUAACUCCGUGCCAGCAGCCGCGGUAAUACGGAGGGUGCAAGCGUUGUUCGGAAUGACUGGGCGUAAAGAGCACGUAGGCGGGCUAGUAAGUCAAUUGUGAAAGCCCAGAGCUUAACUUUGGAAUUGCAGUUGAAACUGCUAGUCUUGGAUACCUGAGAGGGUGGGAGAAUUCCUGGUGUAGAUGUGAAAUUCGUAGAUAUCAGGAGGAAUAUCCGAGGCGAAGGCGCCUGCCUGGCAGUGUAUUGACGCUGAGGUGCGAAAGCGUGGGUAGCAAACAGGAUUAGAUACCCUGGUAGUCCACGCCGUAAACGAUGGAUACUAGGUGUUUUCGGAGCGUUAACCCUCUGAGUACCGGAGCUAACGCAUUAAGUAUCCCGCCUGGGGAGUACGGUCGCAAGGCUAAAACUCAAA
rnacentral:rRNA from 1 species